AGAGUUUGAUCCUGGCUCAGAAUCAACGCUGGCGGCGCGCCUAACACAUGCAAGUCGAACGAGAAAGCAGGAGCAAUCCUGUGAGUAAAGUGGCGUACGGGUGAGUAACACGUGGAUUAUCUACCUUCUAGUGGGGGAUAACCCUGGGAAACCGGGGCUAAUACCGCAUAAGUUCGAGAGAAGAAAGCAGCAAUGCGCUGGAAGAGGAGUCCGCGGCCGAUUAGCUAGUUGGUAGGGUAAAAGCCUACCAAGGCUACGAUCGGUAGCCGGCCUGAGAGGGCACACGGCCACACUGGCACUGAAACACGGGCCAGACUCCUACGGGAGGCAGCAGUGGGGAAUCUUGCACAAUGGGGGAAACCCUGAUGCAGCGACGCCGCGUGAGCGAUGAAGCCCUUCGGGGUGUAAAGCUCUUCGGCAGGGACG
rnacentral:rRNA from 1 species